rnacentral:sRNA from 1 species
AAUACACAGACUUACCGGACAUUACCCA